rnacentral:hammerhead_ribozyme from 1 species
GUACUGAUGAAGAGUCCCAGAUCAGGAUGAAACACAUGUCAAGUAU